ensembl:misc_RNA Metazoa_SRP Metazoan signal recognition particle RNA
GCCGGGUGCAGUGGCGCGCGCCUGUAAUCCAAGCUGCUGGGAGGCUGAGGCUGGCGGAUCGCUUGAGUUCAGGGGUUCUGGGCUGCAGUGGACUAUGUCGAUCGGGUGUCCGCGCUAAGUUCGGUAUCGAUAUGGUGCUCCUGGGGGAGCUCGGGACCACCAGGUCGUCUAAGGAGGGGUGAACCGGCCCAGGUCGGAGACGGAGCAGGUCAAAGCCCCCGUGCCGAUCAGUAGUGGGGUCGCACCUGUGAAUAGACACUGCAGUGCAGCCUGAGCAAAACAGCGAUACUCAGACUUUU